rnacentral:rRNA from 1 species
GACGGGACCCGCACAAGCGGUGGAUGAUGUGGAUUAAUUCGAUGCAACGCGAAAACCUUACCUACCCUUGACAUGUCCGGAAUCCCGAAGAGAUUUGGGAGUGCUCGCAAGAGAACCGGAACACAGGUGCUGCAUGGCUGUCGUCAGCUCGUGUCGUGAGAUGUUGGGUUAAGUCCCGCAACGAGCGCAACCCUUGUCAUUAGUUGCCAUCAUUUGGUUGGGCACUCUAAUGAGACUGCCGGUGACAAACCGGAGGAAGGUGGGGAUGACGUCAAGUCCUCAUGGCCCUUAUGGGUAGGGCUUCACACGUCAUGCAAUGGUCGGUACAGAGGGUUGCCAACCCGCGAGGGGGAGCUAAUCCCACAAAGCCGAUCGUAGUCCGGAUCGCAGUCUGCAACUCGACUGCGUGAAGUCGGAAUCGCUAGUAAUCGUGGAUCAGCAUGUCACGGUGAAUACGUUCCCGGGUCUU